rnacentral:misc_RNA from 1 species
GAUAACUGAAUCGAAAGACAUUAUCACG